AGUUGCUUUAUGACGCCGGGCGCGUGCGCAUUUAAAACAAUUCUCGAAAGAAAUGUUCACAAAUUAGUUUAAAUUCGAAAACGUUUCGGUAUGGACGCAAGAAAAAGGAAUUCUAAGAAAUAGAAAUUCUAAGCGAAACAACAACGAAAAAGGAAAAUAAUUUAAAUAGGGAUAAUAAUAUACAAAAACAUAACAACAAAAACACAACGGUAUUAAGGAAUCUGUUUCAGAAUUUCAGUGAGUUAAAUCUGUUAAAAAGUUCUGCGGUUAAUUUGUUUGUUUCUUUAACAAAAAACGUAAUCUAAUAUUUUAAUUAUUAUCAUCAGCUCAGCAGCAGUGUAGAAUAUAUUGGCCUAAAAUACUAGAUAUUUAGCAUUGGACUGGGUGUUAAUUAUUUCUAUGCCGGUUUGCUGCAAGUAUUUGUUGUCAUUGAUCAAUUAGCUUCCUAGCUUUCAAGCGAACGGUCGUGUUUUUUUUUUGCGCUCCGAUUCCUAUUUUGUGUUUGUCAAACCAGCCAAGGUAUUUAAUAAUUUAAAUUUAAAUUUUUUAAUUUAAUAAUUUUCUUUCAUUAUUAUACAUACAUGUACAUAUGUACAUAUAUGGUCAACAUAAUUAUUAAAGGUGAUUCGCAGUGCUGUUUGGAGUUGUUUUUGUAUGUACAUAAACUGCACUGUGCACCUAUUCUCUCGCUCCCACUCUUUCGCUCUCCCACACAAAAUCUAAAAUUUCUGACUGCUCUCUUGCGGUUCUUUUAACAGCUCGCUUAAAUGUUUUGAUCUUGUGUGUUUUGCACAGUGGUCUGAUUUUAGACAAACAUGGAAACAAUAAAUGUUGUCUGCUUGUAUAAAAUUUUCUUCAUUUGUGUUUCUUUAUUUUCUCUAUUGUUCUUAGUAUUGAUAGUUCAUUUACGGUUUUGUGAAGGCGUUCUAUGUCUGCUAUUGCUGUUUUACUUGUGGUAAUAUCUAUUUGUAUGUCUUGGUUGUUAAGCCAAAUUUUUAAAUAAGUGCUUAAAAACCGCUUUAAUUUUC
rnacentral:lncRNA from 1 species